GACGAACGCUGGCGGCGUGCUUAACACAUGCAAGUUGAACGGAAAGGCCCUGCUUUUGUGGGGUGCUCGAGUGGCGAACGGGUGAGUAACACGUGAGUAACCUACCCUUGACUUUGGGAUAACUUCAGGAAACUGGGGCUAAUACCGGAUAGGAGCUCCUGCUGCAUGGUGGAGGUUGGAAAGUUUCGGCGGUUGGGGAUGGACUCGCGGCUUAUCAGCUUGUUGGUGGGGUAGUGGCUUACCAAGGCUUUGACGGGUAGCCGGCCUGAGAGGGUGACCGGCCACAUUGGGACUGAGAUACGGCCCAGACUCCUACGGGAGGCAGCAGUGGGGAAUAUUGCACAAUGGGCGGAAGCCUGAUGCAGCAACGCCGCGUGCGGGAUGACGGCCUUCGGGUUGUAAACCGCUUUCGCCUGUGACGAAGCGUGAGUGACGGUAAUGGGUAAAGAAGCACCGGCUAACUACGUG
rnacentral:rRNA from 1 species